rnacentral:rRNA from 1 species
GACGAACGCUGGCGGCGUGCUUAACACAUGCAAGUCGAACGAUGAAACCUAGCUUGCUAGGUCGAUUAGUGGCGAACGGGUGAGUAACACGUGACUAACCUGCCCCUUUCUCUGGGAUAACGCUCCGAAAGGAGUGCUAAUACCGGAUACUCACACCGAGGCACAUGCCUUGGUGUGGAAAGUUUUUCGGAAAGGGAUGGAGUCGCGGCCUAUCAGCUUGUUGGUGAGGUAACAGCUCACCAAGGCGACGACAGGUAGCCGGCCUGAGAGGGCGACCGGCCACACUGGGACUGAGACACGGCCCAGACUCCGACGGGAGGCAGGAGUGGGGAAUAUUGCACAAUGGGCGCAAGCCUGAUGCAGCGACGCCGCGUGAGGGAUGAAGGUCUUCGGAUUGUAAACCUCUUUCAGUAGGGACGAAGCGAAAGUGACGGUACCUAAAGAAGAAGCACCGGCUAACUACGUGCCAGCCGCCGCCGUAA